GACGAACGCUGGCGGCGCGCCUAACACAUGCAAGUCGAACGAGCGAGAGAGAGCUUGCUUUCUCGAGCGAGUGGCGAACGGGUGAGUAACGCGUGAGGAACCUGCCUCAAAGAGGGGGACAACAGUUGGAAACGACUGCUAAUACCGCAUAAGCCCACGACCCGGCAUCGGGUAGAGGGAAAAGGAGCAAUCCGCUUUGAGAUGGCCUCGCGUCCGAUUAGCUAGUUGGUGAGGUAACGGCCCACCAAGGCAACGAUCGGUAGCCGGACUGAGAGGUUGAACGGCCACAUUGGGACUGAGACACGGCCCAGACUCCUACGGGAGGCAGCAGUGGGGAAUAUUGCACAAUGGGGGGAACCCUGAUGCAGCGACGCCGCGUGGAGGAAGAAGGUCUUCGGAUUGUAAACUCCUGUUGUUGAGGAAGAUAAUGACGGUACUCAACAAGGAAGUGACGGCUAACUACGUG
rnacentral:rRNA from 1 species